rnacentral:tRNA from 1 species
GCUCCGGUAGUGUAGUCCGGCCAAUCAUUUCGGAUUUUCGAUCCGACGACACGGGUUCGAAUCCCGUCCGGAGCA